UACGGAGGGUGCAAGCGUUAAUCGGAAUCACUGGGCGUAAAGCGCACGUAGGCUGUUUGGUAAGUCAGGGGUGAAAUCCCGCAGCUCAACUGCGGAAUUGCCCUUGAUACUGCUGGACUUGGAACCGGGAGAGGGAAGUGGAAUUCCGAGUGUAGGGGUGAAAUCCGUAGAUAUUCGGAGGAACACCGGUGGCGAAGGCGGCUUUCUGGACUGUAACUGACGCUGAGGUGCGAAAGCCAGGGGAGCAAACGGG
rnacentral:rRNA from 1 species